UACGGGGGGGGCAAGCGUUGUUCGGAAUUACUGGGCGUAAAGGGCUUGUAGGCGGCCAACUAAGUCGGAUGUGAAAUCCCCAGGCUUAACCUGGGAACUGCAUCCGAUACUGGUCGGCUUGAAUCCGGGAGAGGGAUGCAGAAUUCCAGGUGUAGCGGUGAAAUGCGUAGAUAUCUGGAGGAAUACCGGUGGCGAAGGCGGCAUCCUGGACCGGCAUUGACGCUGAAAAGCGAAAGCUAGGGGAGCAAACGGG
rnacentral:rRNA from 1 species